ensembl:lncRNA
GUCAGCGUGUGCAAGGUUUUUUGUAAGGAUAAACCCUGAAGAGGGAACAAAAUGUACCUCCAAGGUUGGGACAAGCAGAAGGACUGGGACCACUGUGAAGUUUAAAGGUUGUUCACAUUAACCCUCAUGUCACAACUUUCCUCCAGUGGCUUACUGAAUUUGAGUGGAGAACUUCAAAUUAGAUGAUCCAUGGCCCAUGCUUUCUGGACAUUUACACAAGAUGAGCAACAAUGAAGACAAGCUCUCUUGCCCUCUUGCAAGACGCUGUCUCUGUCCAACAGGUUUUUUGAGUGCAACAGUGUUGAUUUUUUUUCCCUUCUUUUACCCGUUUGUUAAAAAUUAUUGCAGCUACUUACACUUUAAUUGUCACAUGUAUUGGCUCACCCUACAAAUCAAUGAACUCAGUCCACAAAGCAAGAUCAGGGUUCAGUGCAGGUCAGUCAAGUUCCUUCACACCACACACGCUCAUCCAUGUCCUUGUGGACCCUGCUUUGUGCAUUGAUUUGGUGGUGUGAGCCAGUAUUUUGGACAAAGUGUAUAUAAAGGCAGAAGUGUGGGGCUUGAUAUUAUAUUCAUUACAAUUCAGUUUAUUUGUAUGGUGCCAACAAAAUGAAUGCCAAGGCACUUCACAUUGUAGGUUUAAGACCCUACAAAAUAUAACUAAGAAAACCCAACACUUGAGCAUAUGUUGUCUGCCAUGAUAUGGAUAUGACAUAAUAUCGUUAUUGUUUGUACAACCAUCUGAGAAAAUAAUGGAUUACAUGGUUUAGUAAAAACAAGUGCUUUCUCAAUGAAAAUAUGUUUUCAGUUCUUUUCAGUUUUUGAUUUUGGAAAUGUGUAUUUCUGCAGAGGAA